GGGAGAACCGGUUCGCCGGUGCCGAAGGAGCAACCGCCCCCGGAAACUCUCAGGCCGAAGGACCGUCGCG
rnacentral:ncRNA from 1 species